ensembl:lncRNA
AGCAGUGAAUCAGCAGGAUGCCAAUAGGUUAACUAGGAUCAGAUCAAGCCAGAUGAGCAUACCGAUGAGAACUACAUCCCUUCAGAAGGCAUCACCACCCUGGCUGUACUGAGGCUGCUUGCAUGAAUACACAGAGACAACAGAGCACUUGCAGAGCCCCUCAUUCCUGGAAUAGCCAUGCAGAAACAGCUCCCCUCACACUGAGCUGGAUGCUCUGGGAGGAGAUGCGAUGCCUGAUAACAGAAGGUCAUCGGGAAACAUGCCGCUGCCCAUGAACCAGCCUAAUCCCACAGUUUUAUGUUUCUCUGAACAGCCUAGACACAGAUGCAACCUUUGCUGUGAAGGGGUCAUGAUGCCAUGCCCUGCUUUACAGAGGAGUGCUCCCUGCAGCACGAGUGCUUGCUGGUUCAGUCUGUGAUAUCCUCUUGAGAGAAAGUGAGGAUGGUGGAGCUGAGGAUCCAUCCUCCUCUUAUAUCACGUUAUUUCACACUGCUUUCUGGAGAUACACUUUCCGGCUUUUUCCUCCCAAACUACUCAGUAGAUCAUUAAUGUUGCUUUAUAUAGUAAAGAGAAAGCAGAGCUAAGACAGUAAUACGAUAUU